GACGAACGCUGGCGGCGUGCUUAACACAUGCAAGUCGAACGGAAAUGCCCUGCUGUUGUGGGGUGCUCGAGUGGCGAACUGGUGAGUAACACGUGAGUAACCUGCCCUUGACUUUGGGAUAACUUCAGGAAACUGGGGCUAAUACCGGAUAGGAGCUCCUGCUGCAUGGUGGGGGGUGGAAAGUUUCGGCGGUUGGGGAUGGACUCGCGGCUUAUCAGCUUGUUGGUGGGGUAGUGGCGUACCAAGGCUUUGACGGGUAGCCGGCCUGAGAGGGUGACCGGCCACAUUGGGACUGAGAUACGGCCCAGACUCCUACGGGAGGCAGGAGUGGGGAAUAUUGCACAAUGGGCGGAAGCCUGAUGCAGCAACGCCGCGUGCGGGAUGACGGCAUUCGGGUUGUAAACCGCUUUCGCCUGUGACGAAGCGUGAGUGACGGUAAUGGGCAAAGAAGCACCGGCUAACUACGUG
rnacentral:rRNA from 1 species